GGACUACAGGGGUAUCUAAUCCUGUUUGCUACCCACGCUUUCGCGUCUCAGUGUCAGGAAUGGUCCAGAAGGCCGCCUUCGCCACCGGUAUUCCUCCUAAUAUCUACGAAUUUCACCUCUACACUAGGAAUUCCACCUUCCUCUGCCAUCCUCGAGCUAGAUAGUUUCGAAUGCACUUCCUCGGUUGAGCCGAGGGAUUUCACAUCCGACUUAUCUAGCCACCUACACGCUCUUUACGCCCAAUGAUUCCGAGCAACGCUUGCACCCUACGUAUUACCGCGGCUGCUGGCAC
rnacentral:rRNA from 1 species